rnacentral:rRNA from 1 species
AUUGAACGCUGGCGGCAGGCCUAACACAUGCAAGUCGAGCGGAUGAAGAGAGCUUGCUCUCUGAUUUAGCGGCGGACGGGUGAGUAAUGCCUAGGAAUCUGCCUGGUAGUGGGGGAUAACGUUCCGAAAGGAACGCUAAUACCGCAUACGUCCUACGGGAGAAAGCAGGGGACCUUCGGGCCUUGCGCUAUCAGAUGAGCCUAGGUCGGAUUAGCUAGUUGGGGAGGUAAUGGCUCACCAAGGCGACGAUCCGUAGCUGGUCUGAGAGGAUGAUCAGUGACACUGGAACUGAGACACGGUCCAGACUCCUACGGGAGGCAGCAGUGGGGAAUAUUGGACAAUGGGCGAAAGCCUGAUCCAGCCAUGCCGCGUGUGUGAAGAAGGUCUUCGGAUUGUAAAGCACUUUAAGUUGGGAGGAAGGGCAGUAAGUUAAUACCUUGCUGUUUUGACGUUACCGACAGAAUAAGCACCGGCUAACUUCGUGCCAGCAGCCGCCGUAACAC